rfam:Oryza sativa Japonica Group DNA, chromosome 12, cultivar: Nipponbare, complete sequence.
UUUAAAUACAGUCAUGGGUUUUUGUGUCCAAUGUUUAACCAUUCGUCUUAUUUAAAAUUGUUUUUUAAUUAGUAUUUUUAUUGUCAUUAUAAUAACAACAUAGAUAGUACUUUAUGCGUGACUUAUUUUUUUUAAAAAAGUCAUAUUUUUUUAAAAUAAGACAGACGGUCAAAUAUUAGACACGGAAAUACUCAUGACUGGUCAAAUA